UGUAACUUUCAACAACCGA
rnacentral:rRNA from 1 species